GAGUUUGAUCGUGGCUCAGAUUGAACGCUGGCGGAAUGCUUUACACAUGCAAGUCGAACGGCAGCACGGGGGCAACCCUGGUGGCGAGUGGCGAACGGGUGAGUAAUACAUCGGAACGUGCCCAGUCGUGGGGGAUAACGUAGCGAAAGCUACGCUAAUACCGCAUACGAUCUCUGGAUGAAAGCGGGGGACCGCAAGGCCUCGCGCGAUUGGAGCGGCCGAUGGCAGAUUAGGUAGUUGGUGGGGUAAAGGCUCACCAAGCCGACGAUCUGUAGCUGGUCUGAGAGGACGACCAGCCACACUGGGACUGAGACACGGCCCAGACUCCUACGGGAGGCAGCAGUGGGGAAUUUUGGACAAUGGGCGCAAGCCUGAUCCAGCCAUUCCGCGUGCAGGAUGAAGGCCCUCGGGUUGUAAACUGCUUUUGUACGGAACGAAAAGGCUUUCUCUAAUACAGAGAGCUCAUGACGGUACCGUAAGAAUAAGCACCGGCUAACUACGUGCCAGCAGCC
rnacentral:rRNA from 1 species